AGACCGACCACAAUCUUGAGGCUUGGGUGGGGUGCGUGGGAAAGGACACUCGACCGGGAGGGAUGGGACUAAUUUCCCCCUUCUUUCUCGCUCCUGCCUUCUGCUGGUGUCUCCCAGCCUUCUGACCGACUGGAAACAAGAGCUAAGGGAACACUUUGAUCCAAGGAACUGUCCGGGAGCUUGGAGCAGAGUGGAGACAGAUGAACUGAGUCCCCAUGGAUGAUGAGGGCAUGCAGGAGACACCCAGCAAAGAUGUAAUCUCUGUGCUCAGCAUGGGGCUCGAACGCACGACCCCCAGAUGAAGAGGCACACGAUCUACUGAUGGAGCCAGCCAGACACUGCUCAGGAGUCGAAAUUGUAUGCACCAUUGUGGAAAGGGUUAAUAGCAUCAAUGGAUUCGAUGACUAUGGUUAACUUGGAUGAAACCAGUUAACUACAAUAUCACGCGAUAUUAUUAUUCUUUUCUUAAAUUAUGCAGAAAUGCACCACAUGUCACACUUGGUGUUUUACCUGUCACUCUGUAUAGAACGACUUAAAACAUUUCUUUGAACCCACCUCUUGUUGGAUACGGACGGCUUUUUCAUUUGGAGAAGCAUCUUCUCGUGCACAGGUAUCCAGUGAGAGGCCAUUCACAGGUGGCUCAUUUUGUCCGUGUUGCCGAUUUAAAGAAAUAUCAAUUUCUUUGCGAGACUAGAUUUCCCUUUUCUCUCAUAGAAUAAUACAUGCCAUCCCUUGAAAGACGAACUUUCGUGAUGCUAUUAUCUGAAGCCAAUCAUAGAUCAAUGGAAGACAGCCAAUGUUUUUAAUAACAACUACAUCCCUUAAUGAUGCAAUUUCACACUGAGAUUUCCGAUCUCAAUAGUUAUGGCAAUGAAGAAGUACCUCGAAUCAUUUUAAAGGCUGGCAGGAUGCACUUUUUCGUAGCUGAGUGGAAAGAGACAACACUUUAGAGAUGGAAGCAUCCUUCAACACUAUGACAGCCGGACUCCGAGAGUGUACAUUUCGUGAAAAUGUUACCCCAUCCCCUGACAAAGUGCUGUGUGGUCUAGCGAUUUGGGGAGCCGGUCUGUUGCACUUCCCUCUUGGAGAGCCCCAACCCCCUCAGGCGGUUUAUCAUCGAGGGAAAUGAUAUACGUAAGGUGGACGCUUUUGGAAGUCACAUAGAAAACACUGUCUUUCCCACUUGCAGAAUGGGGAUAAGAUAUGGAUAUUUCAGGACUGUAAGUCAUGUGAAGCCAGGCGGCUCAGGAUGUCAGCGUCCACCUGGGAUCCUCUGUGUGUUAAUUUCAGGAGUAGAAAAAAGAGAGAGAAACACUGUUGUGUUGAGUGUAAACACAUCAAUGUCCAUCAUGGUGCUAACCAUGUAGUGUUUCUGAGUAGUAUUCCCUCUACACUGUAUGAAACAGAAAGAUGGUAAGCAAAGUUCUCAGCUCCUUGAUUAUUUCGGGGACAAAAAUCAUUGUCUAGCGUUGCAUGGGAUGUUAGUACGUAUCCGGUAAUUAGUGAAUGUAGGACCAAGCAUAGACUCCGCCCGGGUCUACAAAUGUUCACCAAUUCCUCACCAUAAGCUACUUUUUGUAGAAACAGAAUGGUGGGAUUCUUUUCUUUUCUUAUUAAGUCAUACGUUAACCUUGACUCCAGCUCCAGGGAAAAUGUUCUUAGAAUUUUAAAAUUUCAAGUGUCUCUCCCACGACAUACAUUUUGGCGAAAGUUUUCUAGGUAAUAAAACAAAAUAUAUGAAUGUGUCA